rnacentral:rRNA from 1 species
GACGAACGCUGGCGGCGUGCUUAACACAUGCCAGUCGAACGGAAAGGCCCUGCUUUUGUGGGGUUCUCGAGUGGCGAACGGGUGAGUAACACGUGAGUAACCUGCCCUUGACUUUGGGAUAACUUCAGGAAACUGGGGCUAAUACCGGAUAGGAGCUCCUGCUGCAUGGGGGGGGUUGGAAAGUUUCGGCGGUUGGGGAUGGACUCGCGGCUUAUCAGCUUGUUGGUGGGGUAGUGGCUUACCAAGGCUUUGACGGGUAGCCGGCCUGAGAGGGUGACCGGGCACAUUGGGACUGAGAUACGGCCCAGACUCCUACGGGAGGCAGCAGUGGGGAAUAUUGCACAAUGGGCGGAAGCCUGAUGCAGCAGCGCCGCGUGCGGGAUGACGGCCUUCGGGUUGUAAACCGCUUUCGCCUGUGACGAAGCGUGAGUGACGGUAAUGGGUAAAGAAGCACCGGCUAACUACGUG